rnacentral:rRNA from 1 species
ACGCUAGCUACAGGCUUAACACAUGCAAGUCGAGGGGAAACGGCAUUAAGUGCUUGCACUUUUUGGACGUCGACCGGCGCACGGGUGAGUAACGCGUAUCCAACCUUCCCAUGACUAAGGGAUAACCUGCCGAAAGGCAGACUAAUACCUUAUGGUCUUCACUGACGGCAUCAGAUGUGAAGUAAAGAUUUAUCGGUUAUGGAUGGGGAUGCGUCUGAUUAGUUAGUUGGCGGGGUAACGGCCCACCAAGGCAACGAUCAGUAGGGGUUCUGAGAGGAAGGUCCCCCACAUUGGAACUGAGACACGGUCCAAACUCCUACGGGAGGCAGCAGUGAGGAAUAUUGGUCAAUGGGCGAGAGCCUGAACCAGCCAAGUAGCGUGCAGGACGACGGCCCUAUGGGUUGUAAGCUGCUUUUGUAUGGGGAUAAAGUCAAUCACGUGUGAUUGUUUGCAGGUACCAUACGAAUAAGGACCGGCUAAUUCCGUGCCAGCAGCCGCGGUAAUACGGAAGGUCCGGGCGUUAUCCGGAUUUAUUGGGUUUAAAGGGAGCGUAGGCUGGAGAUUAAGUGUGUUGUGAAAUGUAGACGCUCAACGUCUGACUUGCAGCGCAUACUGGUUUCCUUGAGUACGCACAACGUUGGCGGAAUUCGUCGUGUAGCGGUGAAAUGCUUAGAUAUGACGAAGAACUCCGAUUGCGAAGGCAGCUGACGGGAGCGCAACUGACGCUGAAGCUCGAAGGUGCGGGUAUCGAACAGGAUUAGAUACCCUGGUAGUCCGCACAGUAAACGAUGGAUGCCCGCUGUUGGUACCUGGUAUCAGCGGCUAAGCGAAAGCAUUAAGCAUCCCACCUGGGGAGUACGCCGGCAACGGUGAAACACAAAGGAAUUGACGGGGGCCCGCACAAGCGGAGGAACAUGUGG